GACGAACGCUGGCGGCGUGCUUAACACAUGCAAGUCGAACGGAAAGGCCCUGCUUGCAGGGUACUCGAGUGGCGAACGGGUGAGUAACACGUGGGUGAUCUGCCCUCCACUUCGGGAUAUGCCUGGGAAACUGGGUCUAAUACCGCAUAGAAGCCCUCUUUAGUGUGAUGGUUGGUAGGUUUUUUUGGUGUAGGAUGAGCUCGCGGCCUGUCUGUUUGGUGGUGGGGUAAUUGCCUACCAAGGCGGCGUCUGGUAGCCGGCCUGAGAGGGUGGACGGCCAAAAUGGGAAUUGGGAACGGCCCAGACUUCUACGGGGGGGAGCAGGGGGGGAUAAUGCAAAAAGGGGGCGAGCCUGAUGCAGCGACGCCGCGGUGGGGAUGACGGGCUUUGGGUUGGAAACCCCUUUCGGUAGGGACGAAGCUUUUUGUGACGGUACCUAGAUAAGAAGCACCGGCUAACUACGUG
rnacentral:rRNA from 1 species